rnacentral:rRNA from 1 species
CAUAGAUAGCCUUCGAGGGUGAUACACAGGUACUGCAUGGCCGUCGUCAGCUCGUGUCGUGAGAUGUAGGGUUAAGUCCCGAAACGAGCGCAACCCCUAUCCCAUGUUACAAGUGUCUUGGGAAACUGCCUCGGUAAAACGAGGAGGAAGGUGGGGAUGACGUCUGGUCCGCAUAGUCCUUAUGUCCUGGGGCUACACACGCGCUACAAUGGUCGGUACAAUGGGCAGCCAAGCCGUAAGGCGGAGCUAAUCCUGUAAAACCGAUCUCAGUUCGGAUUGUGGGCUGAAACUCGCCCACAUGAAGUUGGAUUCGCUAGUAAUCGUGGAUCAGCCAUGCCACGGUGAAUACGUUCUCGGGUCUU